UACGUAGGGACCAAGCGUUGUUCGGAUUUACUGGGCGUAAAGGGCGCGUAGGCGGCAAUUUCAAGUCAGCUGUGAAAUCUCCGGGCUUAACUCGGAACGGUCAGCUGAUACUGCUUUGCUAGAGUGCAGAAGGGGCAAUCGGAAUUCUUGGUGUAGCGGUGAAAUGCGUAGAUAUCAAGAGGAACACCUGAGGUGAAGACGGGUUGCUGGGCUGACACUGACGCUGAGGCGCGAAAGCCUAGGGUAGCAAACGGG
rnacentral:rRNA from 1 species